rnacentral:precursor_RNA from 1 species
AUUGUGACUAGCAAGCGGAAUCCAGGACGAUGGAUGAGUCUCAAAUUGGACGAAACGAACUUCUUGAAUUCCACUUACCAGUCACAAUC